rnacentral:tRNA from 1 species
AGCCAUUACUAAAGGUUAGGGUUUGUUUUGAAAGCAGAUGUGGAGGUGUUCGAGUCGCUUAAUGGUUU